rnacentral:lncRNA from 1 species
ACUCGAAAUAUUACAUCUAUGACGUAAAACUCGUGACGUAACGCGUGACGCAUUGCAACGACAAUUUCGAAUUCGUUCCAUUUCGUAUUGUUGCCGACGCCAUCUUGGAAAUUUAUGCUAUCCGGAAAUUGCGAGUUCUUUUUCCCUCCAUUUUAACAUUUUUCGUACAAAUUUUAAUAAUGAAAACUCGCGUAACGUAGAAAGAAGUAUCAUUCUCAAAUUUUAUAAUCCACUUUCCAAAGAAACAUGGAAUCAUUUUAAAAACUUCUUUGCUCAAAAAAUUAACAAAGGAAAGAUUUAACUGAUUGUGAGCACUUAAAGCCAGGAGUUGUGUGACAUCAUUUAGGCUUCUGACAUACCAAUAGAGCAGCUAUGUGACAUGUAUGUAUGAAAAUUACUUUGUGGAUAAUCAACUCAAUGGUUAUCUGCUCCACACACCUUCCUUUAGAAAAUGUUGAUAUUGAACUUUGUCACUGCAAUCUUUUAACAAACAUUUCCAUUAUGACAAAGAGCAUGCAACAUUUUCUUCUAUAAAUGGUCAGUGAACUACUUUACUUUACUUUUAUAUUCCCGGGACCAUUUUAAUUUUAAAUUUUGUAAAAAUUGGCAUUCAGAGUUUGAUUUGUCUUGAUGUUCAUUUUGGAUUAAUUAGCCCUAUGUUAAUUAAGCACAAUAAAAUUAGGUUCAAAUUUUCUUUAUCAUAUAUAAUGUAAUAGAGAUAGCUGUAAAAGCAGAUUAUAAAUUAUGAAUUAUUG